rnacentral:rRNA from 1 species
GAUGAACGCUGGCGGCGUGCCUAAUACAUGCAAGUCGAGCGAACGGACGAGAAGCUUGCUUCUCUGAUGUUAGCGGCGGACGGGUGAGUAACACGUGGAUAACCUACCUAUAAGACUGGGAUAACUUCGGGAAACCGGAGCUAAUACCGGAUAACAUUUUGAACCGCAUGGUUCAAAAGUGAAAGACGGUCUUGCUGUCACUUAUAGAUGGAUCCGCGCUGCAUUAGCUAGUUGGUAAGGUAACGGCUUACCAAGGCAACGAUGCAUAGCCGACCUGAGAGGGUGAUCGGCCACACUGGAACUGAGACACGGUCCAGACUCCUACGGGAGGCAGCAGUAGGGAAUCUUCCGCAAUGGGCGAAAGCCUGACGGAGCAACGCCGCGUGAGUGAUGAAGGUCUUAGGAUCGUAAAACUCUGUUAUUAGGGAAGAACAUAUGUGUAAGUAACUGUGCACAUCUUGACGGUACCUAAUCAGAAAGCCACGGCUAACUACGUG